rnacentral:rRNA from 1 species
AAAGGAGGAAUGAGGGGAGGAAAAGAAGAAGGGGAGUAAAGAGAGGGAAGAGGGCUUGUUAAGUCUCUGGGGAAAUCUUCCGGCUCAACCGGAAGGCGUCUCAGGGAUACUGGCAGGCUAGGGACCGGAAGAGGUGAGAGGUACUCCAGGGGUAGGAGUGAAAUCCUGUAAUCCUUGGGGGACCACCUGUGGCGAAGGCGUCUCACCAGGACGGCUCCGACAGUGAGGAACGAAAGCUGGGGGAGCAAACCG